rnacentral:rRNA from 1 species
UCAGAACGAACGCUGGCGGCAGGCUUAACACAUGCAAGUCGAGCGCCCCGCAAGGGGAGCGGCAGACGGGUGAGUAACGCGUGGGAACGUACCCUUUACUACGGAAUAACCCAGGGAAACUUGGACUAAUACCGUAUGUGCCCUUCGGGGGAAAGAUUUAUCGGUAAAGGAUCGGCCCGCGUUGGAUUAGCUAGUUGGUGGGGUAAAGGCCUACCAAGGCGACGAUCCAUAGCUGGUCUGAGAGGAUGAUCAGCCACAUUGGGACUGAGACACGGCCCAAACUCCUACGGGAGGCAGCAGUGGGGAAUAUUGGACAAUGGGCGCAAGCCUGAUCCAGCCAUGCCGCGUGAGUGAUGAAGGCCCUAGGGUUGUAAAGCUCUUUCACCGGUGAAGAUAAUGACGGUAACCGAGA